rnacentral:rRNA from 1 species
GACGAACGCUGGCGGCGUGCCCAAUACAUGCAAGUAGAACGCACAGUUUAUACCGUAGCUUGCUACACCAUAGACUGUGAGUUGCGAACGGGUGAGUAACGCGUAGGUAACCUGCCUGGUAGCGGGGGAUAACUAUUGGAAACGAUAGCUAAUACCGCAUAAUAUUAAUUAUUGCAUGAUAAUUAAUUGAAAGGUGCAAUUGCACCACUACCAGAUGGACCUGCGUUGUAUUAGCUAGUAGGUGAGGUAACGGCUCACCUAGGCGACGAUACAUAGCCGACCUGAGAGGGUGAUCGGCCAAACUGGGACUGAGACACGGCCCAGACUCCUACGGGUGGCAGCAGUAGGGAAUCUUCGGCAAUGGACGAAAGGCUGACCGAGCAACGCCGCGUGAGUGAAGAAGGUUUUCGGAUCGUAAAGCUCUGUUGUAAGAGAAGAACGGGUGUGAGAGUGGAAAGUUCACACUGUGACGGUAUCUUACCAGAAAGGGACGGCUAACUACGUG